rnacentral:rRNA from 1 species
ACUCAAAGGAAUAGACGGGGACCCGCACAAGCGGUGGAGCGUGUUGUUUAAUUCGAUGGUAAGCGAAGAACCUUACCCAGGCUUGACAUCCUGUUAAUCUUUCCGAAAGGAAGGAGUGCCUUCGGGCCGCAGUGACAGGUGCUGCAUGGCCGUCGUCAGCUCGUGUCGUGAGAUGUUUGGUUAAGUCCAUCAACGAGCGCAACCCCUGUGAUUAGUUGAAUUUUUCUAGUCAGACUGCCUCGGUAACGGGGAGGAAGGGGGGGAUGAUGUCAGGUCAGUAUUGCCCUUAUGCCUGGGGCUACAAACACGCUACAAUGGCCGGUACAAAGGGCUGCCAAGUCGCGAGACGGAGCAAAUCCCAUCAAAGCCGGUCUCAGUUCGGAUUGCAGGCUGAAACUCGCCUGCAUGAAGCUGGAAUCGCUAGUAACGGUAGGUCAGCACACUACCGUGAAUACGUUCCCGGGUCUUGCACACACCGCCCGU